rnacentral:rRNA from 1 species
CAGCUACACAUGCAGUCGAACGAGAAAGUCCUUUCGGGGAUGAGUAAAGUGGCGGACGGGUGAGUAACGCGUAGGAAUCUACCUGGUAAUGGGGGAUAACUCGGGGAAACUCGAGCUAAUACCGCAUACGCUCUACGGAGGAAAGAGGGCCUCUAUUUAUAAGCUCUCGUUAUCAGAGGAGCCUGCGUUGGAUUAGCUAGUUGGCGGGGUAACGGCCCACCAAGGCGACGAUCCGUAGCUGGUCUGAGAGGACGAUCAGCCACACUGGAACUGAGACACGGUCCAGACUCCUACGGGAGGCAGCAGUGGGGAAUAUUGGACAAUGGGGGAAACCCUGAUCCAGCGACGCCGCGUGGGUGAAGAAGGCCUGCGGGUUGUAAAGCCCUUUCGGUAGGGACGAAAGCUCUCGACCUAACACGUCGGGAGGUUGACUUAACCUACAAAAGAAGCACCGGCUAACUCUGUGCCAGCAGCCGCGGUAAUACAGAGGGUGCGAGCGUUAAUCGGAAUUACUGGGCGUAAAGCGCACGUAGGCGGCUUGGCAUGUCGGGUGUGAAAUCCCCGGGCUCAACCUGGGAACUGCAUCCGAAACUGCCUUGCUAGAGUAUGGGAGAGGGAAGUGGAAUUUCCGGUGUAGCGGUGAAAUGCGUAGAUAUCGGAAGGAACAUCAGUGGCGAAGGCGACUUCCUGGACCAAUACUGACGCUCAGGUGCGAAAGCGUGGGGAGCAAACAGGAUUAGAUACCCUGGUAGUC